rnacentral:rRNA from 1 species
GACGAACGCUGGCGGCGUGCUUAACACAUGCAAGUCGAACGGUGACCCUCGGAGCUUGCUUCGGGGUGAACAGUGGCGAACGGGUGAGUAACACGUGAGUAACCUGCCCCUGACUCUGGAAUAAGCGCUGGAAACGGCGUCUAAUACCGGAUAUGACCCGAACGGGCAUCCGUAUCGUGUGGAAAGUUUUUCGGUCUGGGAUGGACUCGCGGCCUAUCAGCUUGUUGGUGAGGUAAUGGCUCACCAAGGCGAUGACGGGUAGCCGGCCUGAGAGGGCGACCGGCCACACUGGGACUGAGACACGGCCCAGACUCCUACGGGAGGCAGCAGUGGGGAAUAUUGCACAAUGGGCGAAAGCCCGAUGCAGCGACGCCGCGUGAGGGAUGACGGCCUUCGGGUUGUAAACCUCUUUCAGCAGGGAAGAAGCGAAAGUGACGGUACCUGCAGAAGAAGCACCGGCUAACUACGUGCCAGCCGCCGCAGUAAGAC